rnacentral:rRNA from 1 species
AUUGAACGCUGGCGGCAUGCUUUACACAUGCAAGUCGAACGGCAGCGCGGGCUUCGGCCUGGCGGCGAGUGGCGAACGGGUGAGUAAUACAUCGGAACGUGCCCAGUAGUGGGGGAUAGCUCGGCGAAAGCCGGAUUAAUACCGCAUACGACCUGAGGGUGAAAGCGGGGGAUCUUCGGACCUCGCGCUAUUGGAGCGGCCGAUGGCAGAUUAGCUAGUUGGUGGGGUAAAGGCCUACCAAGGCGACGAUCUGUAGCUGGUCUGAGAGGACGACCAGCCACACUGGGACUGAGACACGGCCCAGACUCCUACGGGAGGCAGCAGUGGGGAAUUUUGGACAAUGGGCGAAAGCCUGAUCCAGCAAUCCG